CACGCGCUACUUUGUGAGAUUCAUUUUAGCGUUAAUGAGAAUUAUAUUCUACCUAUGUGUUCUACCUUGAUUGUACUCAGGUAUAUAGAAGAAGAGAAGGAUGAAUCGGACCCUAAAAAACGAACCAGUGCAAGUCCGAGAAGACACUACAAAACGGACCAGAGAGUCAAAAACGGACCAGUGGAAGUCAAGAACGGACCAGUGCAAAGAAAUCUUCAUAACUUUUUAAUCACAAAAGCUAUGAGAACUUGUUAGAAAUCUUGUCGAGUCUACUUUCCAAAGAAUCUAGUGGCGACC
rnacentral:lncRNA from 1 species